rnacentral:rRNA from 1 species
AACGCCGCGUGAGUGAAGAAGGGUUUCGGCUCGUAAAGCUCUGUUGGUAGUGAAGAAAGAUAGAGGUAGUAACUGGCCUUUAUUUGACGGUAAUUACUUAGAAAGUCACGGCUAACUACGUGCCAGCAGCCGCGGUAAUACGUAGGUGGCAAGCGUUGUCCGGAUUUAUUGGGCGUAAAGCGAGUGCAGGCGGUUCAAUAAGUCUGAUGUGAAAGCCUUCGGCUCAACCGGAGAAUUGCAUCAGAAACUGUUGAACUUGAGUGCAGAAGUGGAGAGUGGAACUCCAUGUGUAGCGGUGGAAUGCGUAGAUAUAUGGAAGAACACCAGUGGCGAAGGCGGCUCUCUGGUCUGCAACUGACGCUGAGGCUCGAAAGCAUGGGUAGCGAACAGGAUUAGAUACCCUGGUAGUCCAUGCCGUAAACGAUGAGUGCUAAGUGUUGGGAGGUUUCCGCCUCUCAGUGCUGCAGCUAACGCAUUAAGCACUCCGCCUGGGGAGUACGACCGCAAGGUUGAAACUCAAAGGAAUUGACGGGGGCCCGCACAAGCGGUGGAGCAUGUGGUUUAAUUCGAAGCAACGCGAAGAACCUUACCAGGUCUUGA